rnacentral:lncRNA from 1 species
CCCAGCACCAUUUAUUGAGAAGACAAUCUCUUUCCCCUGCACUUCAGUCAUUCCAUUAAAAAAAACUGACUAUCAUUUUGAAUGGCUGGAAUGAGGCUGUGAGGCUCCAGCAGCCGUUUUGUGCCACGAGGCAGUAGAAACCUGGGUUCCUGAUGACUGUGGAGCUGCCGAACUAAUCUGGACCUCCAGAUUCCAUACCUGCAAGACACAUGAACAUCUGUCUUAUCAGCCAUCCCUGGAGAGGAUCCCUGGAGAGGAGCAAACCCAGGCCAUCCGGAUUUUCUGCAUGGGAGACCUGGCUGACCGCUGCCUGGGCUGCUUUCAAGUCUCACCGAAUUAUGAAGUCAACUACUGGGUGUUUAGAAUGUCUCAAGUUCAAAGACUAGCAGGCUAGAAGCAGACAUCUGAGAGAACUUCGGGCACCUUAGCAGGAGGAAUAUUAAGAUGUGGCAUGCUGGGCUUAUCGGGAGACUGGAUAGGGAUCAGAAGGAAUACAUUUCUAUUCUGCGAGCUGCAGAGCUCAGGAGUCGUUCUGAUAUCAGGCCCAUUGGUGGGUUUAGCUUUGGUGCAAGUUUCUUGGCCAUGGAGCUUAACUAGGAGGAAGUGAAUUGCAAUCAUUUUGGCCUGUGCUCCUUAGAGUCCCAGGGAUCAAUGGGAGACGAGUGACUGGGUGGGCGGGUAGAGCAAGGAGAACAGGGUGCAGGAGACACUGCCACUUAUUUAUUUGUUUUUCCUACAAAUAUUUAUUGAGCCUCUAAGUAUGUACCAGGCACAUUCCAGAAGAGGGACUCAGAGGUCGUUGGAAGUGUAUGCCAGGAACCACUGAGCAAGGCCCUUGUCUCUCUUUGUGGGCCUUCUUCAGACACUUCCCCCUCAUACACGGGAUCUGGGAUCAUUAAACAUCUCAUUGUCCUUUGGAUUCACCAGCUUUUGAAAGUGCUGCUCCUGCUGGAAAAGCCCUCGCUUCCACUCUUCACCUAGAAAACUUCUAUUCAUUCAUUAAGGCCUGACGUCACGUUUUCUGGGAAGUCUUCCUUGCUUAUCCCCUGACAAAUUUGAUUUUUUGUCAAAUUUGUAUUAUUUAUAUCUUUGUGUUAUUAAAUUUCCAUCACAUUUCAGAGUUUCUGAGUGUUUAAAUAACUUAACCUAAGUUCACACAGCUAGUUAGAGUCUCAGCUAGGAUUUGAACUUGGAACUUCCUGACACCAAAGCCAAUACACUUAACCACUAGAUCGCAUGGCCACUGAAGUUAGUGGUUCCUUCUCUAGGCUCCCAGGGCCCCAGAGUUUUGUCAUGGAACUCAUCAUUGUUGAUUGUCAUUAUUCAUUUGCUGGUGAGAUUUCCAGGGGUACGGGCUAUAUGGAGUCACUAUGAUGACUCAACAUAGAAUCGACAGCCCAGAUGCUGGUGGGAUGAUAAGAAAGGCUAUUAAUGUGCCCAGUACUGGGCUAACCUCUCCAUAUUCAUUGUAUCAUUGAUUACUCAUGACAAUCCAUGAGACAGUCAUUACUAUUCUUCCCAUGUCAUAUUUGGAACAACUGAGGCUUAGAGAGCUGAAACAAUAUGUCCAACUCCCACAGCUAGAAGAGGCAGACCUGGGGUUCAAACUCAGGUCUGGCUUAUUCCAGAGCCCAUGCUUUUAACUGCUAUAUCACACUCCUUCUCCUCGACGUGUUCUCUGAAACCCUGUAGUGGUGCUGGGGUACAGAGACAAGUGUCACCAAGCUCCUACCUUCAAGGAGCUCACAGUCAAGUGGAGAAGUCAGGCAUCCCGGCAUCCCAGGCAUCCCUGAUUAUCCUGGUAUGAACAGAUAAUCACAACACAAGCUAUAAAUGCAGGUAGCCUGGAGAAAGGAGUAAAUAAUUAGUCAAACAGAGGGAGUGCUAGGGAAAGAUUUCAAAGCAGUGGGGAUACCUGAACAGGGUUUUGAAAGUUAAAUAAGAGUCUUCCAGGAGACAAGGAGGUAGAAGGACACCAGACAUACAGAGCAGCAUACACGAAGGGAGGGAGGGAAGGAGAGAGAGAGAGAGAGCUGCUGGGUGGUAGGGAAACUCCAAGUGAUUAGAAAUUUCACCCUUCCUGUCUCUCCUUCCGCAGCUGACUCUGCUAGGAAAUGUGGAAAGCUGCAGCUGCAGACAGCUGGCUGUGCCUGCUUCACUGGAGUUCUCAGCUCUCUUACACCUGUCUGUUUAGAAAGGAGCAGACAGGCUGUGAAGCUCUGCAGGAUUCUUUUCAGUGCUGGGGCAGAAGGAGAAAUGGUGGGGACAGCCACUCUGGGCAUCAGAACCGAAUACCUGCUCCCCACUCCUCUCAGUUGCACAGCCCAGCUCCUGGCUUCACUGCAGUGGGAAGGGAGAUGAAGGACUCUUGAACUCAGAAUAUGACUGACCAAGACCCUUACAGCUGGGGUGGAGGUAGGGGGCUGAAGGCAGGUUCUGGAGGUGGAGAUUGAGUCUUCCAGUUGUUUUCCUGGCAACAGCGGGAACAAUAGAUUCUAGGUUCUGGCUGGCUCAGGAGUUGGGGUGUCUGACCUGUCUUUCCUCAGUCCCUUCUGCUAUAGAUACUGAUAGUCCUCUGCCACCAGGCUCUGCCUACCAAGUCCCUGAGCUCUUCCUGACCUAGCCUGGCUCUGAGAGGGGAGCCAGCAUGGCAGAGGGUGGGCCUGGUACCAGUUGUGUCUCCCUGAAUACAGGAUCUGAGAGCUGGGGAGCUAUGGACACCCAGAGCCCAUCAGCCUGGUCUCUCCCCUCACUGUAGGUUCCCAGGCCAGUGGCUGGUUCCUGAUUUUACCUAGUCUUCUGCACUGGGAUAAGAACCUGACAUCCAGCUUCCCCUUUGGGAGUAAGGCCUCUUCCACGGGCUGCUCCUGGUCUGUGUUUUCCACUGCAGUCUGGGAGCCUACUUCCCCCAUGAAGGCCCUAACCCCACCCAUGAAGACACUACAUGAAUUACUGUCCAGACUGGACUCCAGAUGCAGCCUCGGAUUAGACCCAAUUUGGCCUCAUCUCCUUGGAGCUGUCUAGUAAUUUGGAAUACACGCUGCUCCCUACUUAGCCACCUGCAAAGCAGGGUCCAUCUCCCAGCCUGGUUCUGCCUUUUCCUCAGUCUUAUAUGUGUGUGUCUGAGUACAUGUGUCAGUCAGUGAUCAUGCCAGGACGGCCAGCUGGACUUGUGUCAGCAUGCACAUAUGUUCCUUGAGGCUGUCCCGUGCAGGCGUGCACUGAGUUCUCAGCCCAGUUCUGAAGCGUGUUUGUGAAUAUGCCCAGAUACAUCAUGAACAUUGCUGGGAUGCUAGGAGGGGGAUCAGUAUGAAUGACAUUGCAUGUCCUCAAGUACACAGGUAUGUGUCUACGCACACGCACAAACCUCUCUAAUAUGUAUGUAUGCACGUGUACAUGUGUAUAAUAUGGCUAAGUGUGUGUCUGGGAGUAUUUGACCAUGUCUGAUGUGAAUCUUCUGCCCAUUCUGAAAGGAAAGGGGACAUGGGCCCACUCUCCCUUUUUGUAGUUACACUGUGGUCAGGGCUGGCUUGUGACAGAGGGAGUCAAGGUGAGUGCCCCUCUGAACUUCUGGGAUCUUUCUGCCUAACAUUCUGAGACUUCCCCAGCUGUUCCCUAGUCCUGCAGCCUUGGC